AGUUGAAGGAGGAAAUUAUCAGCUGGAGGGAUUGAAUGGGUUCAGUCACGUGGGGAUUAGAGAUUUGGAGGAUGCAGAGAGACAGGGAGAAAAAGUGUCGACUUUUCAGGUCAAAUCCUGCUUCAGGGCUGCAGAUUCCAACACCUAUUUUCAGAUUUGGAGAAGUUUCGACAAACUUGGACUCUGUUUCACGGAAUCUGCAGGCAGAAGAUACAAAAGCCUGAAAACAUACCCCACCAGACUCAAGGAGACAGCAGGGCAUUGCUUCCAGAGGAUAUAUCAGGGAGUUCACUGAGCAUCUGAGACCUUCUUAAAUUUGAACUGGAACUUCUGGCAAUUUAUGAAAAUCACUGAAGAGCUGAAGACUUUGGAGCAAAUGCUAAUGUCUGUACUCAACUUCUAUACUGUAUUUGACAAGUUGAAGUCUUCAUGGGAAUGACGUUUGCCAAAUUAGAAAUACAAUCUUAAAUGCAAUGAAUUGGUACUAAAUGAUAGUAGAGUGAUCACUCAAGUCGAAUAUGAUGUUCUCCUAAGGGGUUAAGUGGAUUCCCAUAAAUGAAAAAAAUACCAUUCUCUUCACUAACUUCAAUGUCAAAAAGUAAUGUUGGGCAUGAGUUCUUUCAGAUCAGUAAGUGUAUUUUGAGGAAUGCUUUCUGUAAAUCAAGAAUUAUAUUUGCUAUGAUGGGUUUACCUCUGAUAUGUAUUUACAGGCAAAUACUUAAGACAUUUCUUUGACAUUUUCUUCAUGCUUCUUGUAUGAAAUAUUAACAUUAUAUAAACAGCUACCUUAGCUAUAAAAUAAUAACAAAAGGAAUGCCAAUUGAUGAGUUAUACAAAUUUUUU